UGGCUCUCGCAUCGAUGAAGAACGCAGCGAAAUGCGAUAAGUAAUGUGAAUUGCAGAAUUCAGUGAAUCAUCGAAUCUUUGAACGCACCUUGCACCCCUUGGUAUUCCGAGGGGUAUGCCUGUUUGAGUGUCAUUAAAUUAUCAUCCUUUGAAGGCUUUUCAUGGCCUUUCAGAUGGUGUGGACUUGGAGUGUGCAGGGCUUUAUGCCCAGCUCCUCUUGAAAUGUAUUAGCCGUAUCUUCAACCGCAGAUCUGCUUUCAGCGUGAUAGUUAUCAACGUUGUCGGCCGUGACGCUUGUGGCUUAACACCCACUUAGGGGCUACGCUUAUAACCGUUGCAUAUAUGCGCAACAAUUCAAUGACGAUUUGACCUCAAAUCAGGUAGGACUACCCGCUGA
rnacentral:misc_RNA from 1 species